AAGACUUCUUUUGUGUCUCUUCGAUGCCAGGGAUGGAUAAAAACUGUCUUCCUGGAAAUGGCUGAUGCUAUUAUAGGAGCCUAAAUUUUAGAACCCAAACAAGUAAACAAACAAAACAAAACUCAUCUAUCACAAAGGAAAGGAGGGGCGGAGGCAGAAAACCCUAGAUGCCCAUUUUGGACUUACCUUCAAUGAAUGUAAGAGGCAACGGAAGCAGCAGGAAAAUAAAAUGUGUUCACAGCACAUCUGGAGCUAAAGUAUGGAAUGCGACUUGCGUACAGCUUUCUGGGGCCUGAACUGAGGCAUCCAAGAGACCGGCUUUGUACAACAAAGAGAAAGCAGUGAGCUCCUCCUCUCUUUCAAUUCAAGCAAUUCCUUUUGCACCGCUUUGUAAAAGAGAUCACGGUUCAUCCCUCCUCCCCCUUCCAGCUGCAAUUAAGGGAGGGGUGAAAGGUCUGCGUUAGGGAGGGACUAGCUAGCACCAAAGAACACUUUCGCCUGACUCUAUUUUCAGUGGCUGAUAAUGCUCCAAGCAGAACGCAGAAGGCACACAGGAACUCCUCAUGGACAUUUCACCAUGCACCCAGAUUCCCCCACUCUAAAUACGUUCAGAGGAAAAGCUCCAGAGUCAUCCGGGCUGCCCACAAGUUCAUGCCCAUGUGAGAUAAAUUAAGGAGAAUGCUUAGGCAAAUGUAUUUUCCCACUGCCUCCAGCUCUGUUCAAACAGCUGAAAUUCUAAAGGGAGUAAACAUGCAAUAGAUCCAGACCUCACCCAUAUGCCUAUGCUGUAAGCACAGAAGAAGCAAAGAACAAAGAACACAAUCCUGGGCUGCCAAUCCAGGCUUAAAAAGAAUGUGGAUCCAUUUCUGGAAAGCCAACCAACCAACCAACCAACCAGCCAGCCAACCAACCAGCCAACCAGCCAACUAGCCAACCAACAUAAAAAGUUUGUUUGGAAAACAGAGGAACAUCUCCAUUUACUGUAUAACCUGCUGUUUCAAGAAUGGCACAGGUUCCUAUUGCACAGCUCUUCAGAACUUCAGGUCUUCAACAGCGCACCCAUCACUGCUGUAAUCCUGUCCGUCCAGUGGUGGGUUGCCCCCGGUUAGGACCGGUUCACAAGAACCAGUAGUAAAACCGGCGGGAGGCCCACCCACCGCCCUGG